rnacentral:rRNA from 1 species
AGAGAGAGACAUGCGCGCAUAUCAAUAAGCGGAGGAAAAGAAACUAACAAGGAUUCCCCUAGUAACGGCGAGUGAAGCGGGAAGAGCUCAAAUUUGAAAUCUUAAAGGGUUUCCCUUUACGAAUUGUAGUUUAAAGAAGUGUUUUCUGUUGAGGUUUUGGUAAAAGUUCUUUGGAAUAGGACAUCAUAGAGGGUGAGAAUCCCGUAUUUGACCUUUACUUUCAACUUUGUGAUACACUUUCAAAGAGUCGGAUUGUUUGGGAAUGCAGUCCAAAAUGGGUGGUAAAUUUCAUCUAAAGCUAAAUAUUGGCGAGAGACCGAUAGCGAACAAGUACCGUGAGGGAAAGAUGAAAUAGAACUUUGAAAAGAGAGUUAAACAGUACGUGAAAUUGUCAAAAGGGAAGCGUUUGACACCAGUGUUGUUUUUCUGAAAAUCAAUUAAAGAACUGUUUAUGCUAAGCUGUUUAGACUUUAUCAGCUAACUGUUUAGUUUUGAGCUUUUCUUUAAUGCACUUUUUAGUUAACAAGUCAACAUCAAUUUCUUUUGCUGUAAAAAAGCUUGAGGAAGGUGGCUUGAGAUUCGUCUUAAGUGUUUAUAGCCUCUUGCCUAUGCAGUCGGAGAGAUUGAGGUCUGCAGCGUAGAUCCUUCGGGGCUAAAUGCAUUUGUGCUAAGUUAUAGCAUUUUAUAGACAACUUGUUGACUAUGAUUUGUCUUGUAGCUUACUCGCUUAUGUUAUUUUACCUACGCUUAGGAUGUUGACGCAUGAGAUAUACGC